ensembl:lncRNA
GUGAGUAGCCCUUAUUGGACGCAAAAGAAAACAUUUAACAGGCCUGCAACGGGGGAUGAACUGAUUAUUUUAUUUGUUGUUUUCCAUGCCGGCUUUUGUAUUUUCUUUUAUAUCUGUAUGCAUGUCCCUGUUUGUAAGAGGUGACUAAUUUCAUGUGAACACAUGCCUAAAGUUAUGUUAUACUAGGGAGAGUUUUUGACAGUUACUAUUUUGUGUGGCUUAUUAUUAGCUCCCUUAUUGAUAAUUUAGUUUCAACUGUAAGUUGCUGGUUUAUUGCAGUUCAUUGAUUAGGGAGGUUGCUAUUUUCAUUAUUGACCUAGUGCCCAUAUCAAUUGAGUUUGCUAUACAUUUCUUCAAUAUAGUUUAAAUAGCCUAAACAUAACUAAAUCUUAUUUGUGGUAGGGAAUCAUUAUUAUUUCAAAUACAUGACUAUUUUGGUUAAAUAAAUUAUUUGUAGAUAAUUGUAAAUGUGUUAUGGACUCCACUCACUUCAAUUAGUUGACAUUAUUCAGGUGGCACAAAGUGAACUCAGGUAACAGCCGAGUCUUAACAGGGAAUUGACUCUAGGGCUACACUUAUUUAUCUCAAAUGCUAUGUAUACAGUUCAACAUUUGGAAGUGCUAAUCCACCGCAAUCUUGUGAAGUUAGUAGUUUCUUAAGUCUAAUUCUGGGCCUUUUCCCAUUCCAUAAGAACUCUGUAAUUAACUUGUUAUAUUGCUUAAAGAUUCCAUCAGAAACUGUCACUGGGAUCAUCAUAUAAAUGUAAUUCAAUUGUGGAGCCACCACUAUCUUAAUGAUACUCAUUUUUCCCCACAAAGUCAGUUUAAGUAGCUUCCAUUUGUCCAAAUUCAGCUUAAUUUUCUGUAUUAAAGGGGACAAGUUAAUAUUAAUUAUGUUUUCCAACUCUGGACACAAUCUUAUACCUAAAUAUUUCAAUCCAGUUUGGACCCACUUAAACUGAAAUUUGGCAAAUAUUGAUUGACUGCAUUCUUUCGAUAUCGGCAUACAUUCAGAUUUCUGCCAAUCUAUUUUAUAGCCUGACAGUUUUGAAAAAGACUAUUGAUGCCAGAAGAUGAGGUAUUGACAGUAGAGGAUCCUCAAUAACCAAUAAAAUAUCGUCUGCAUAGAGGAACAUUUUGUAUUCCUCUUCCCCAUGUGAGACCCCUUUUAAUUCUGCUCUCGGCAAUAGCUAGGGGUUCCAGAAAUAAUGUAAAUAGCAGAGGGCUGAGAGGAUCUCCCCGCUUAGUUCCACAUGUCAAUUUAAAGUAACAGUAUGCAACAAUUGUACCUUAAAAUAACAGCUUGAAAAAAAUUGUGCCGCUACAAUGACUUUUAAUAUGGCGAUUUGCGCCUCCGCCAUUGCCAUCGGGGGUCUGUGGGGAAAUAACUCCGCUAUGUAGGAUUCUGAGGCCGCCCGAUCUGGGGGCGGAUGUACUUCGACCUGCUUUCUGGCAGUGAUUACGCAAUGUCAUAUAGUGCCAGUCCACGCUCGCAGCUACAGUAUAAGGGAGAAGCAAGCGAAGUCUCAUCAGUAAUCAUCAUGGAGAACGCACCAAAGAAACAGAAGAAGACGAUGUCUGAUGAAGCAAAGAAGAGAAAAAGAGAGGCCGACAGAGCAAGAGAUCGGACUAGGGUCACAAUCGGAACAGCUUUUACUCGUUGGAGAGAGAGCUGAAAGACACAUUUGGAUACAAGUUCGAUUCACAGCUAGCCAUCUUUCUGCUGGAUUACGGUAGGGAAUGUCUACUCCCAGCAAGGGACAUGCACAGCCACCACCGCCGCCUGUAUCUAGUAUUUCAGAAGAGUCCGACCGAGAUGGGGACAAAGAAUUCGCUAUGCAAGGUGUUCAACCGUUGGGCAAAGAAACCGAAGCGGUUGGUGUGCUAGAAUCUAGCAUGCACUCCUUGAGCAUUGCUGAAGAGGAGCAGCAUGACUCUCUGGAUGAGGAGGAGGCGAAUUAUAUGAGGAAUAGCAUUAUUGACAUGGAUGAUUGCUGGGAGGAUCCUAAUCAGAAGGGCUUGGAAGAAGAUCGGGACAGCUCUGAUGAAGACUAUAGUCCUUUUCUUCAUCUACGUGCCCCAGCUAUGACUGCCAACAUAAACCAACUCCUGGAGAUAAGCAUGGAUAAAGCCGUGCUUGAUGUGGCAACACCCAAUCCUCCAGGUGAGGACAUACAAGAAACUCCAGAACAACAAAAAGUUUCAGGUAUGCCCCUAUAGUUAUGCAAAUGCUAGUAGUUGUCAUACAUUUGCACAUACACACAAGCACUU